CUCGCAGUCCUCGUACUUGAUAUUAUCUGUCAAUUUCCAAAGCAUUUUCAUGGAUCGGCGUGAACGGAUAUGCCCCUCUCCGUCUCGCACGCAAGUGGAGCUACUCUGGCUCUUUACCAACAGCCUAAUCGCCUCAUUAGCAUAUCAACAAUAGUCCAAUUGCUCGCCAGUACCACAAUCUGCCGCCGGCCGCUCCGACACAGGUAUAAAGGCCUCUCUACGCCGCGAACUUGCUUCUAGAGCGCACUCUAGCCUGCGAACUGAUAAAACCUUCCUUGAGCUCGGCCGCGAGCCCCUGUCCCAGCACCACCUCUCUUACCCCAAUUCCGCCACAUUCCCCUUCCUUUCUCUCUCUGCUUCCUUUUCUCCAGAGAUGCCUUCUGCAAAGCCCGGCACUGCUCAAAGUCCAAGCCGCCGCGCCUGGGGCCCGGCUUCUAGCACUUCUCCCUUAACCCUACUACCACGAUCCAAGCUGCCCUUUUGGCCCCGUGCAAUUUUAUUAGAAAUCAUUAUCCCUUUCGCAAUUAAACAUAACCACCAAACCAAGACCGGGGAAGUCACUCCAAAAUUUUUGCCCAACAAGGGAUCGCCUCCGCUUGCGGCAGCCACCCCCUCGGGCCGCAGCGCCUUGGGAGUUUUAUUGGCUUUGAGCUUUCCCCCAGGUCGGAGAUUCUGCCAAGCGACUCCGGUGGCUCUGCUGGGGUUUGCAAUCCCUUAAUUGCGGCGUGUAAAAUAAAAGUUGUACCCUGAAGAGGUUACUUGACAGCUCCGGGGGUUAACCAAUUUUCUUUCCGUUUGUGUGAAGCUAGGGCCAACUGACAGUUCAACUUGGUGUUCAGGCUAAGGUUUCCUAGGUGCGACUUGGACACGAAUACAGAACUCGUAUGGAACUGCACACCCGCUUCUGAAGUUGAGGCGAAAUACAGACAUGUGUGUGCCUGCAAGUCUAGAUACCGUCUCAUGCAUGCAUCAAAAUAAAUCACCGGGAACCGACUCUUAGCUGUGUUAAUCUGCUCUAGUUUUCCCAAGAUUCCCCUUUUUAAUUAAAGCAGGGAGAGUUCCUUCAUGAUUUGGUGAUGCUACUAACGCAGGCGUGCUCGCGAGGCAGAGCCCGGCUGCCGCGCAACCUGGAGGCCUGGGAGCCACCUCCUCGUCCAGAUUGGUCAGUCCGGGCUUUUGGACUCCUCACAGGAGCCUGCUGGCUCCUCCGGGGCUUUUAUCCCUUUCGUUUUUGGGAUUUUUUUUAAGUAAGAAAAAAGAAAAGAAAAGGACCUAAUGUGACACUAUGAAAUACAGAGUAAUUAAUUUUC